CUCAACCUCGGAAGUGCUUUGGAUACUGCCCGACUUGAGUACGCGAGAGGUGAGCGGAAUUCCAGGUGUAGCGGUGAAAUGCGUAGAUAUCUGGAGGAACACCGGUGGCGAAAGCGGCUCACUGGCGCGAUACUGACGCUGAGGCUCGAAAGCGUGGGGAGCGAACAGGAUUAGAUACCCUGGUAGUCCACGCCGUAAACGUUGUGCACUAGGUGUGGGAGGUAUCGACCCCUUCCGUGCCGGAGCUAACGCAUUAAGUGCACCGCCUGGGGAGUACGGUCGCAAGACUGAAACUCAAAGGAAUUGACGGGGGCCCGCACAAGCGGUGGAGCAUGUGGUUUAAUUCGAUGCAACGCGAAGAACCUUACCCAGGCUUGACAUCCCCAGCUCGCCGUGGAAACACGGUUUUCCCUUCGGGGACCUG
rnacentral:rRNA from 1 species